rnacentral:rRNA from 1 species
GGUGAACGCUGGCGGUAGGCCUAACACAUGCAAGUCGAACGGCAGCACAGUAAGAGCUUGCUCUUACGGGUGGCGAGUGGCGGACGGGUGAGGAAUACAUCGGAAUCUACUUUUUCGUGGGGGAUAACGUAGGGAAACUUACGCUAAUACCGCAUACGACCUACGGGUGAAAGCAGGGGAUCUUCGGACCUUGCGCGAUUGAAUGAGCCGAUGUCGGAUUAGCUAGUUGGCGGGGUAAAGGCCCACCAAGGCGACGAUCCGUAGCUGGUCUGAGAGGAUGAUCAGCCACACUGGAACUGAGACACGGUCCAGACUCCUACGGGAGGCAGCAGUGGGGAAUAUUGGACAAUGGGCGCAAGCCUGAUCCAGCAAUACCGCGUGGGUGAAGAAGGCCUUCGGGUUUUAAAGCCCUUUUGUUGGGAAAGAAAAGCAGCAGGUUAAUACCCCGCUGUUCUGACGGUACCCAAAGAAUAAGCACCGGCUAACUUCGUG